AGCUUUGUGCAGUGGCAGUAUCAUAGCCAGUGAGGUUUAUCCGAGGUGUGAUUAUUGCCAAUAGAAUAUAAUUGAGCCAAGUUGUUUGCCACUUAAUAAGAAAAAUUGCUGUCUUAGUUUGGGUUAUUAUAACAAAAUA